rnacentral:misc_RNA from 1 species
UCUCCGUAGGUGAACCUGCGGAGGGAUCAUUACAGAGUUCAUGCCCUACCGGGUAGAUCUCCCACCCUAUGUUAUUAUUACUUUGUUGCUUUGGCGGGCCGUUAGGCUCCGGCCCGACUACCGGCCCCGGCUGGUAAGCGCCCGCCAGAGGACCCAAAACCCUGAAUAUUAGUGUCGUCUGAGUACUAUAUAAUAGUUAAAACUUUCAACAACGGAUCUCUUAGUUCUG